ensembl:rRNA 5S_rRNA 5S ribosomal RNA
GCUUACGGCCAUACCACCCUAAGCACGCCCGAUCUCGUCUGAUCUCGGAAGCUAAGCAGGGUCAGACCAGGUUAGUACUUGGAUGGGAGACCGCCUGGGAAUACCAGGUGCUGUAAGCU